AAGACCUUGUGAAGGCAGCACUUGAACAGCACUGGAAACAUUCUCCAUCUCGACGGCCAAAGAUGCUCUUCCUCUCUUAGAUAUAGAAUGAAGAGUUGGAAAAAAGAACAUCACGUUUUGGCCAUUACCAGAAUGUUUAAGGAACUGUGCAUGGUGAGAUUUCUAAUUCACACUUCUGAAUUUUUAAAAAGGAUUUUCAAUGAUGAUAUAGUGCUUCAAAGUGCAGGUGUUGUGGUUAUGUUCUCAUGGUUAAUGCCAUGCAAUGUCCUUUUGCUUAAUAACUGUGUACAAUUGAGUUAGCUGCAUAACCUUUCUGGCCCCCAGAUUCCUCAUCUUUAGUGGGGAUUGUAUCAAGAUGAACAGAUGCAUUAAGGGAUGAAACAAUGCAGGUGGAGCUUAGAGGAGAGCACUUGACAUCUGAAAGGACCCCAUAGACAGCAGUUGUUACAGAAUUCAAAACUAUCUCCUAUUUUUCUUCCUUUCCUUUGCUUUAGGAACUCUUAUUGCUUUAUGUCUAAAGAAAUCCAUACUCAGCUAUUUACCUUUGAGUAAAAACUAAUGAUUCAGGAAUUCAAAAGAAUAUUUCCCCUCUAUUUCUCCAAUUAUAUCUUAUUUGUUCCUUCUAAACACAUUCUCAUUUAUCCUCUAACCCCCAGCCUAAUGCUUUAGAUUAUAAGGUGAAUUUUAUAAAUCUGUAUUAAAGUACAAUAGUAGGAGCUUGGUAAAUUUAAGUACUAUUGUGCCAAUCAUAGAUACUGAUAGAGAAUACAAAACUUACUAUUUCUAUAACCGAAAACUAACAAAUGGCAAAGGGAAGGAAAUUAAAGAUAAAAAACAGGGACUCAUAAGACAGAAUGAAAGCUUCUGAUUUAACUAUGUAAUUUUCUAAGUGUGCUUGAUGUCAUAGAUUGCAUUGGGUUCCUGUUGCAAAAUUAUUCAGGAAAGUUCAAGUGACUGAUGUACAGAACUACUUCAGGACUAAGCAUCAUAGCUUGGUCUCACCCUUACCAUUAGCUAAAUCACUAAGAUAACAGAAAAGAAGGAAAUUCAGGCAUCUGUUAAGAAGAAAACCAGCAGAGAAUGGAUAUUUUUCACCCACAUUAAAUAUAAAUAUUGAGACAUCUAAGGAAAUCGGCACAACUAUACUAAGGGCAAAGGAAAGGACCAGCUAUCUGAAAAUAAUGUAUAUAUUAGAUAGCCAGGAAAGGGAAUAUGUUUAAUCAGAAGGAAAUGUUUAACCAG
rnacentral:lncRNA from 1 species